rnacentral:snoRNA from 1 species
AAAAAUCUUUAUAAGUCUCGAGCUGAAGUGAAAUUAUAAAAUCUGUUCUUUUUUACUUAUGGGAAUUUUGAAUUCUACUUGUAUCAAUUAGGCGCUAGCGUUAACAUUAUGAGCUAGUCAGAUACAGGUUGUAAUUUGGGAUUCGUAGAAUAAUCAUCAUCCCACUGGAGGGAGCAGUCCCUUUAGAGGAGCCAGCUUUAAAACCAUCGCUGUUAGAGGUCGCCGCUAGUUUACUAGGCCUGGCUGAUCCAUGAAACGGUGAUGACCUGAUGCCUGGGACAUUC